rnacentral:rRNA from 1 species
UACGGAGGGAGCUAGCGUUGUUCGGAAUUACUGGGCGUAAAGCGCGCGUAGGCGGCUUUGUAAGUUAGAGGUGAAAGCCCGGAGCUCAACUCCGGAACUGCCUUUAAAACUGCAUCGCUUGAAUUCAGGAGAGGUGAGUGGAAUUCCGAGUGUAGAGGUGAAAUUCGUAGAUAUUCGGAAGAACACCAGUGGCGAAGGCGGCUCACUGGACUGGUAUUGACGCUGAGGUGCGAAAGCGUGGGGAGCAAACAGG